AUACGGAGGGUGCAAGCGUUAUUCGGAAUCACUGGGCGUAAAGGACGCGUAGGCGGGUUGGCAAGUCAGAUGUGAAAUCCUACAGCUUAACUGUAGAACUGCAUUUGAAACUGCUAACCUAGAGUAUGGGAGGGGGAGAUGGAAUUAGUGGUGUAGGGGUAAAAUCCGUAGAUAUCACUAGGAAUACCGAAAGCGAAGGCGAUCUCCUGGAACAUAACUGACGCUAAGGCGUGAAAGCGUGGGGAGCAAACAGGAUUAGAAACCCUAGUGGUCC
rnacentral:rRNA from 1 species